AUACAAUGUUGGUCUGCCACAAAGCUGUGUCUCUACAUGUGUCCCUUUCCCCCCACCCCAGGUAGUUUUUGUUUCCUCACUUGUGUCACCCUGAUUAACUAAGUUGUGAUUAUUAUGGGAUGUUUUGGGUGAUUAAUAUGGGAUGUAUCUUUAUCUGUGACGUCAAACUGCGCAUGCACAGUGGCCGUUUUGCCACCCUUUUGUCGUGGGGGUGAGUCCCUUUUUUUGUCCGUUCUGCGCCAUCUUCGCACCUACCUUCCCCCGGUCCAAAAGGGACUACUCCAGGCACGAUUUAUGUUUUCAUUUCGUCUGGAUUUUUUAACGCUCGGGGUCUGCAGCCACCACGGAGGCAUCCAACGGCCAGGCAAGGAUGCCAGGAGUUGGCAGAAACGAGGAGGACGGCGAGGAAAACUCAUUUGAAAUGGACGAUUCUGUUGAUUAUGGACCGAGUGCACCUACCGAAGGCGGACAUGUCAAUCCUGCGGAAGAGUCACCCCCUUCAAAGAAGAAAAAGAGCAAGAAAACGAAAAAGGAGAAGCGAAAAGAGGGAAAAUCCAAGAAACGCAAGCGCUCUGUGGACCGAGAAAGUGGAGGGGUGAGUUUUGUACGCAGUUCUUUGUGCACAACUUGUUGGCAGUGCUGCAUGUGUUUUUACACACUGUUGGCUUCAAGUAGAAUGGUUUUUCUCUACAUAAGAA